rnacentral:sRNA from 1 species
UCAUGCUUUAUUGCUUGCCCUUGGCCUGUGCAGCUUAUUCAGACAGGCAGAAGUGCCCUGUGCAGAGCACGAGCAAAGUGUUGGAUUUAAAUCCCUUUAGGCACGCCCUAUUAAUGCUCUUGUGUAUCACACUGUGAGCAGAUUCAUUCAUUCUCUAACAUUUGCUGAGCCCUAUCUAUGUCCUGGCCAUGGUGCUCAGCGCUGGGUACAGAAGGGGGAACAGAUGACACCCUGACUCCCGAAGCUCUGGAUUUGAUUUCGUAGCAUGAGGCAGACAAGCACAGCAACAAGAUCACAGCCAUCAACAGCUGCCUCAGAUGCCAGCUGUGCACACUGGAGACACAGAAUGAGAGAGACUCCUGGACAAACUGAGACCUGACAGGUGAACCAAGGUCCUGGUGGAGCAACUAUGUCUGAUGGAUGCAAACUUGCUACCUACAAAUCACGGAGCUAAGCAUCAACCUGAGUGGCUAAUGAUCAUCUUAAUUAACCCACAAGACUUUAUGCAUGGCUGGUAUUCAUCCAACCUUUUGAUCCUAGACAGGAAUCUAUUAAAGACCGUUGAGAGAAUGAAAAGACAAAAUCCAACUUCCAUAAGCAGAAUUGUUAAGAGGAAAGACAGAAGAAUGAUCUUUGAUCAGAGAGGCGAAUGCCAACACAGCAGCUUCUUACUCUAUUUAUUAGCUUGGGAUCUUUGCCAGAAGAUUUUUCUCUGUCAACCAUUUCCAGACUUGUAGGUUGUCAUUGCUAAGACUGGAAUGACAGAACCUCCUGUUCUCAGGAUGACCUUGGCCUUGAAUUUCUAAUCUUCUUGCCUCCACUUCCCAAGUAUUGGGAAUAUGGGCAUCAGCUACCUCUCCUGGCACAAAAAGGUAUUUUAUAUGAUGGCAUUUUAAUUAUAGCUCUCACUCAACUCUACUUGCAGCUUAAACAAACAAAUGAACAAAUGAACACAGAAUGUUUCUUGAUGCUGGGUAUUGAAGCAAAGUCCUCAUAGACGCUAAUUUCAUGUUCAACUAUUAAAUUAUGCCCGUUUUCCCUCAUCAUUUACUGUUACUCCCCAUUGUCAAUGCAUUCAAACAUCACAUGAAACAUGCUCAUUAUUUUAUUUUGUGCUUUGAUCCUGUCAAGAAUAGUAUUAUCAUACUUCUACAAAAGGUCAUAAUCCUCAGGCUCAAAGCAUGAUCUGCUUGUCUCUUUCCCUCUGGCUAAGUUACUAUGAUGCCACUCAUGUUCUCUGUCUUCUCUCUUGUCUACAGGAACUGGGAAUGAAAAGCUUGAAGGAAUAUAACAUGACAUACAGCUGCCAGUGGGUGGAAUGUGCACAGAGGAAGCUCUAAGGGGAACUCUAGCACAUGCACGUCUCCGUGAUGCAUGCGGUGCCUGCAUCCAGGCUAUGCGCUACCAGAUGGUGAUCCACGCUUCUGUUGCCUGGCCCUUAAAAUCACAGCUACCUUUUGGCCAAUCCUGGAGGAAGUGAACUGCCAUUAAAGGUCACUCCCAGGAUAUCUCCUUCACAUCCUCCGAAUUAACCUCUCAAUAGUAGACUGAGGCUGUGAUUUUUUUUUAAAGCCAGGACUGCUUUCUGGCUACGGUUUUAGCCACGUGUCUAUCAAUCUCAAAGGGGUUUUGCUGUCUUCAUGGCAAACAAAGACCUAGUCAGCCUUGCCACUUACUUUGUGAUGCUUUGUGCAAAAGAAGGCCAUCUUUGAGGCUUCUCAAGAUUUCUCCCAGGACUCCUAAGAAUCCUUUUGCAAAGGAUACCUGCAAACCUUCCUGGACAUGCAAGGAGUCAAGUGAUGCGUAUGCAAAUGAGACUCCCUUGUGACUCUGAAUCACUAUACCACUGAGGAGCUUUUCUUCACAGUAAUCAACAUCUCAUCUUAAUUGCUUUUGUUUAUGUUCAAUAAGUGCAUCAUUUUGGCAACACCAGCUCACAGCAAUAUCUUAAAUUACCCAAGGCUGCCCACUUUCAUUUAUGGACUCUGCCUUGUGUCUGAUGAGCACUUAGAUUUUUUAACUAUUUAUUUCCUCUGCCUGACAGGGAAUGAAGAAUAUACAGCUUAUGGGAAAAAUUAAGUAGGAGGAGCAGUGAGGACUAGGGAACCAUAACAGAAGUGUACAGUAUGCAAGGCCAAUACAAAAGCAGUGAGUUUUUAAUAAUCCGAGUGUGCAAUACAUAUGUAUCCCUCAUAAAAUCAAUUGUUGAUUAUUGUCGAAUCUGCUAUUUCUCAGUUUUCCACCUCAUAUAAGACCAGAAAAAAAAUCCUGGAGGAAUUAAGAAAAAUGAAAAUGCUCCAAUAAUGGCAAAUUCAGUUAUGGUUAAAAAAAAUAAAGUUGUCUACUAAGUUGAUGUUUAACACAUAGCCCCUUCCAGGAACUGAGUUGAGGGUGUUGGAUGCACUGAUUACUAGGAGUAUAAUCUGAGAUAAAACUGCAUUUUUUGCCCUUGAUUUGAGUAAUUAUCUUGCUUUAAAAUAAAUUCCAGUUGUCAUUAUGCAGGCAGAGGAAAGUCAGAAAAUGGAGGGCCACUGGGGAAUCUGUGGGCAUCACUGGAGCUGUGCUAUUCAUCAUCUCCAUGAAGCCGCUCAUGUUACUAUAAUAAUCCAUGCCUUGAUUUCCCAGUCUGUCCCCCCUCCGACUGACUACUUACCAUCUUAUUGCCUUUAUCAUUAUGGUACAGGGUUAGGUGGCUGAACCCAGUGUUACCAGGUUCUUGGCCUCUUAUUCAAGAGUGAAGCGGAAGCUCACCCAGAUUGUAAAGCUGUCUGUCUGAGGAAAUUUUAUUUAAAGUUGAGCAAUAGAAAAGAUCAGAAGACACUGCCAGGGAGCAGUGGGGCACCAGAGCGAAGCUACUCAAGAGCUCUCAGGCUUCGCCUCAGGCUUCUUGCUAUAAUGUCUAAAGGAAGAAGGGGUUGGUUACCAAGGGAAUUUAUUUUGGGUCACAUAAUCAUUUUUAUACUUUGCAUAUCCCUUUCUGUAAUGCAUAUUGUAUCAUAUUAUGCCCAAUUCUGUAUAGGCAGUAGGAGGUAAAUAGGGAAGUCUCCUUAAAAGCUCACUUCAAGACACAGUUUUACCUAAUUGAUUAUGAACCCCAAAAGGAUUCAGAAUGCAUUGGUUUCCUAUCUUCCCUACAAGGCACAAGCAGUGUAUGAUUGGGCAGAUUCUAAGUUUGCUAGUUGUUAACCAGAGAAGAAAUGUACUUCACAGAAAUGUAUCUCAUUGUGUGGCUUGGUGCAGGUGGGAGUCUUAGAUUAGCUAAGACUUGGUUCAGAGGGAACGGUGAAAAGCUUAAGGCAAGUGGAGUCUCAGUUUGUUAAAAUGUUUCUUUUGCUUGCCUGUCUCAGUUACAUUUAAUUAUGGGAGAAUAUUAGCUAGCAGUUGGUAAGUAAUAAAAUCACAAGUGUGGUUUCAAACAACUUGCCUUUGUAAUAGAAGUUUCUAUGAUAAAAAAAAAUCUGUGUAAACAUAGCAACUGAAUCCUCUCUUUCAGGGACACAGAGGGAUAAAUCAAGGUAUUCAAUGGGAUUAUGUCUCAUCUGAGGUGGGACCAGGGAAGGAUAUGCACCCAAGCUUCCAAGCUUCUCUGGUAACUGGCAGAAUUUCAUUCCCUGUAGUUUGCUUAUCUGAGGAUUUUAUGUUCUGGCUGAGUGGGAGGCAUUGUUAGUUCCUACACAGUUUCUGGGCAGAGACUGCUUCAGUUCUGUGGGAUGUGGACCUUCUUGCUUUAACCAAUGUGUUCAUUAAGGCAGGUAAAAGAAAGAGAGAGAAUGUUGAGAGGGAAACACACUGGUUCGGGAAUUGUUUAUUUGUUGUUUUUUCUUUUUGUUUCAGCCAAAAGUAGUACAAGCCAUCAACUACCAUGAAACUCUCCCUUCAGUUCACGCUCAGUUUCUUUUGAAGUCUUGGUUGGUUAAUCCAUUUCAUGGGUGUGAGUCAUUGCCAUGCAGGUAGCAUGACGCAUGGCAAUUCUUUCCUUCCUUGUUUCUGAGGCAAAGAACACUGAAUCAAGGCAUCUCCGGGGCCAUGUCUUCUCUGGGGCUGGAGAGAAGGGCUCUUCUUUGCCUCUUCCUGGUUUUCUUGACUCUCCUAACCCUUAACUUGAGGCUGUCACUGCAGCCUCUGCUGCAAAUGCCAAGCAGAAUUUCCCUUGCUUUUGUCUAUGUUUACCCUUCUCCUUAUAUAGACAUAAAUCAUCAAGUUUGGGAUCCACCUAAUCCCAUAUGGUCUCAUUUUAAAAUGACUACAUCGGCAAAGAGUGUUUCCACAUAGAGAAUUUGGGAUAGACGUGGCAUAUUUGUGGACACUGUUCAUCCCACUAUUGCUGUGACUUUUCCCUUUGGCCUUUGCUACCUUACUCUAAAUGAAACAUGCAAACCACACUUUUUAACUCCCCACUGUGAAUGAUAAAGCUUCUUAAAAGGCAGCCAGGGAAGUGGUCCAGAAUCAGCACCUUCAGUAGUCAAAGAACCAGGGCUGAUAUUUGGUGUCCUUUUGCUGCAAGUUCCUCAUCUAUAAAAUGUUAAUAAUAAUGAUGAUGUUACUUAGCAUUUGGUAUUGUUAGAGGACUAAGUGACAUAUGUAGUAUGCAGAAUUAUAAGAACAAUUUCUGGUCCAUAGAAAACACUCCAAAGAGUCAUAAUCCAGCUCUCCUUUUAUCCCCCCCCCCAACUAGCUUAUUAGUUAUUAGUAAAUAUUAUUAGUAAAUGUUGUGUUUAGUGCUUGUUUUUCAAAUUAUACUUAAAGUCAUUGAUUAAUAAUUUUGACUAUACUCACAACCAAUUAUGAAGGUAAAACAGAAACAAAUGUCUAUAAUGGGAUACAUUCAUAUAUUUAUAGUUUAUGAUAAUUAAAUAACAAAUUAAAAUUGAUUGCAAUUAUGUGUUAAAUGAUUUAGAGCAUAGAGGUAUGUGAGAAGUCUUUAUUGCUUAAUAUACUUAUAUAGUGUUUGAAUAAUUCUUUCUUCUAUGAAUAAAUAAGUAACUUCAUAUACUUUUGCUUAUCUAUCUCUAGGUGUUUCAGCUGUGCUAUUUCUCUUUUCCUCCUUGGUCUCUGUAUUUACUUUAUGUGACUUAGUCAUCUUUAUUUUGUUGAGUGACUAACUUUAAGCACAGUAUUUGCAUGGGAAAUCACCUAUUAUCUGUGCACUUUAUUAUCACAACACUCAUGUUACCAUUUCAUAUUUGAGUUCUUAUCCUCAGCAGGAUUGUAUUAUUGACACGUGGCGUGCAUCAGUUCAUUUAAUCUCCGUGACAUGUAUGACAUUUCACUGAUGAGAUAACAGGAGGUACAGAGUGCCAAAGUAAUUUGUGCAAGGCCGCAGAGCUUCUCCAUGGCACAUGUGGUGUUUGAGAAGUUUCUGGCAUCAGAAUUUCUUGUUAGAGCCAGUUCAUUCUGUGGCUUCUUAGUGUCCAUAAACUCAAGGCAGAUUGCCAUACUCUACAUGGAUCCAGUGAUUGACAUAGCUGGGGCAUGGAGGGAAUGAAGGAAGGACAGUCACAUGAGUACAGACACAGAAUAACUAGGAUUGGGGACUGGGGUCUCUCCGAUGAAGAAGCCACAAUAUGACAGGGCGAGACAGUGCAGAGAUCUCUCCCUCUUGUAUUCUUGCUGAGGUCAUCUUAACUCCAGUUUGAUCUCCUUGAUGGGAAGCCCCAUGGAAAAUUACUCAACUCUAUUCUAGGAGUCCAAGGUCACAAUGCCCUGCUAUUUUCUGUUAAAUUGCCUGCCUGUGCAAACCUCCCUCUCUAGCUAACUGCUUAUCUUAAUGUCUGUUAAACUGCUUGCUUGAGCAAAACAUUGCUCUGAAGUUGCAGAGUGAGAAUUCUGGAUGUGGUUUUUGUCUUUAAAAACCCCUUACCCUAAACACCUAGUACUAUCCUUGAGACCAGAAUACCUAGGAGGUGCUGGAAUAAAGACUUUCUACUGGCUAUAAACUGUGUGGUACUCUCUGGUGGAUUCCCCAAAACAACAGCACCUCCGAAGUUCUGUGGGUUUAUUAUAUACCAUAGAAUUGGGGUUUUUGGGCAAAGCUGAACAAGGAGGCAGAAUUUAUGGUGUACAGAGCAUAGAGAAGGAAGGUUUAGCUAAUCACCGUAGGAGAGGUUUCUGUAGGGAGAAGUCUUCAGGCAUAAAUAUCUGAGCAGGGGAAGAGGAGAGAGAAAACUAUGGUAGACAUUUUCUGCCCAUACUGCCAGCUUUCACACUUAGACCAGAGGAAGCAUUGUUACCUCUCUGAGCCUCAGCCAGAGAAGGCUUUGCCAGUCCUAUACCAUUGAGGUAUUGGGGGUCUUGACAUUGCUGCCUGUGUCAACAUCAUAUAUUCACUCAAGACUGUACUUGCUCUCUACACAGAAUCUCGUUGCAUGUGACUAAAGGCACAUAGACUCUGUAUAUCUACUGAGUCACAGAUUUGGUGUCUCUGAAUACAUGCCACCCAAAAGAACAACAGCAAAAAAUCAUUAACGCAAAGAAGUGCUCCCUUUGUUUAUAGCCAACCAGUACUCCUUCCAUGUGUCUAUCCAACUCAGGCCUUUUCAGGCAUUGUGUUUUACCAGGGGCCCCUUUAAUAUUUCUCAUUCAUAGAGAAAAUGAAACCAUGCCUCUGUCUUCCCAUUAAGAAGUUGCAGUGCCUUCUUUACACAGAUCCGAUGACAGAAGUUCUUCUCCUGUCGAAGAGGUUAUUUCUGACACCUCUCGACUUCCUGUCCCCAUUUGGACUGAUUGCUUCCCUGGCACAUGCUUGUCACCCUGAGAUCUUACUUGAUUGCCCUUCUGGGUUUACCUUCCAUUUUCCCUUCACUUUGCUGAACUCCUUUUCUAUUUUCCUUGGAUUUCUUUUUCAUUUGGCUCAAGUAUAUUUUCCGUUUUAUUAUUGUUUUGCAGAAAGCACUCUCGGCUGAAACACGAUGUUCUUAUAUGUAUGCUGGUAAGGUGUAUAAUUGAAAUAUGCUUUCCAUCAAAAAGUAGAAAUUGAUGUGAAUCUGAUUAUUGGCCCAUUGAAGAUAACACCUUUCUGUCUCCCUAAGCUUUGAGGAUUUCCUCACAGGCUGUGCUAUUUUGGACUGUUGCCAGAUGUCAUUGAGCGUUGUUCAUCCUCUAUGACACUUGGAGUGAAUCUGUCAUUCUGCAACAACCGGAGUUUUAUUUCUAAAACAUAAAUCCCCAGGCCCCAUCUUCAUCUAGGGCAGAAUCUCGAUAUUCUUCCACCAUCUCUGAAUGUACUGUUAGUCGACACUGUCCCAUAGAUGAUGCUAGCUAAAACAGGGAUCUGGGUAUUUUUUAUUUAGUCCGUCUUAAUGUGGUGUAGUGUCCCCGUUAGUAAAACUGUCACGCGGACCUAUGCUCAUCUAGGUUUCAAUCCCUUCAGCAGAAGAAUGGCAUGGAAUGUAAAGGAAAGACACCCCUCCGGAGCUCCUGGUUUUCUUAUUGUCACGAGCAAUCUUAUUUGUAAGAACUGGCUUGGGACAUCCACCUGUUGGAAGAAGUUAAUCCGUCAAGCUGCUGCAACUCUGGCAAGGCUCAGUGACCUUCAACAGACCAAGUCACUUGCUGUGACAGAGUGGAGGAAAUGUUUGUCCUUGGCUUCCAUUUUGGCUGAAUCUUUUUGUCAUAUUACCUGUUUCUUGGUCCCUGAAGGUAGAUGUCUGUCCGAAAUAAAGUCAUCUGUUUUAAUUUCUCCGGC